UAAACAAAUGAUGACUUUAUACAAAACUGAAAUGUCUUUUUGGUCUAUUUUUGACCUUCUUGAUAUUACCUUGGGAUGGUCGCUCUGCGAGGCAUUUAUCUGAUG
rnacentral:snoRNA from 1 species